AAGCUCGUAGUUGAAUUUCGGGUAUUUGUUGCUAGCUGGUCUGAAUGGCCAUGUUGGUUAACAGAUCCUCACUUGCUGGAUGACUGGCGAUGAUCUUCAUCGGUUGUCGUCAGUUGCCAGAACGUUUACUUUGAGAAAAUUAGAGUGCUAAAAGCAGGCUCACGCCUAUAUAUAUUGCAUGGAAUAAUGAAAUAAGAUCUCGAUUUUAUUUCGUUGGUUUUAGAAAUUGAGAUAAUGAUUAAUAGGGAUUAGG
rnacentral:rRNA from 1 species